rnacentral:rRNA from 1 species
CUGGCCGUAAACGAUGGAUACUAGGUGUAAGUGGUAUCGACCCCACUUGUGCCGCAGCUAACGCAUUAAGUAUCCCGCCUGGGGAGUACGGCCGCAAGGUUGAAACUCAAAGGAAUUGAC